GUGCCCACUUCAUCAGCACAUAUACUAAAAUUGGAACCAUAUAGAGAUGAACAUGGCUGCUAUGCAAGAAUGACAGUGCAAGUUUGUGAAGCGUUCCAUAUAUUU
ensembl:snRNA U6 U6 spliceosomal RNA